CUAUGUUGCACAUGUCUAUGUUAUAUAUAUCUAUGUUGCACAUGUAGCCGUUGCAUAUGUCUAUGUUGCACAUGUAGAUGUUGCAUAUGUCUAGGUUGCACAUGUCUAUCUGCUAUUGUGUUGUUAAGUCACUGUGAUCUUGCCAGUUCGUGUGCAGUAAACUAACCUACACCUUG